rnacentral:rRNA from 1 species
CCUACGGGAGGCAGCAGUGAGGAAUAUUGGUCAAUGGGCGCGAGCCUGAACCAGCCAAGCCGCGUGAAGGAUGAAGGCUCUACGGGUUGUAAACUUCUUUUAUAAAGGAGUAGAUUGAGGCACGUGUGCCUGUUUGAGUGUACGUUACGAAUAAGGAUCGGCUAACUCCGUGCCAGCAGCCGCGGUAAUACGGAGGAUUCGAGCGUUAUCCGGAUUUAUUGGGUUUAAAGGGAGCGUAGAUGGGUUGAUAAGUCAGUGGUGAAAGUUUGGGGCUCAACCGUAAAAUUGCAAUUGAAACUGGCAGUCUAGAGUACAGUUGAGGUAGGCGGAAUGCGUGGUGUAGCGGUGAAAUGCUUAGAGAUCACGAAGAACACCGAUUGCGAAGGCAGCUUACUAAACUGCCACUGACAUUGAUGCACGAAAGUGUGGGUAGCAAACAGGAUUAGAUACCCUUGUAGUC